rnacentral:rRNA from 1 species
UACGUAGGGUGCAAGCGUUGUCCGGAAUUAUUGGGCGUAAAGAGCUCGUAGGCGGUCUGUUGCGUCGGCUGUGAAAACCCGGGGCUCAACUCCGGGCCUGCAGCCGAUACGGGCAGACUAGAGUUCGGCAGGGGAGACUGGAAUUCCUGGUGUAGCGGUGAAAUGCGCAGAUAUCAGGAGGAACACCGAUGGCGAAGGCAGAUCUCUGGGCCGUAACUGACGCUGAGGAGCGAAAGCAUGGGGAGCGAACAGG